rnacentral:rRNA from 1 species
GACAGAGGGUGCAAACGUUGUUCGGAAUUACUGGGCGUAAAGCGAGUGUAGGCGGUCUCAUAAGUCGGGUGUGAAAGCCCCGGGCUCAACCCGGGAAGUGCACUCGAAACUGCGAGGCUAGAGUAUCGGAGAGGUUGGUGGAAUUCUCGGUGUAGAGGUGAAAUUCGUAGAUAUCGAGAGGAACACCGGUGGCGAAGGCGGCAUCCUGGACCGGCAUUGACGCUGAGGCGCGAAAGCGUGGGGAGCAAACAGG